rnacentral:rRNA from 1 species
UACAGAGGGGGCGAGCGUUGUUCGGAAUUACUGGGCGUAAAGGGCGCGUAGGCGGCCUGCUAUGUCGAACGUGAAAUCCCCGGGCUCAACCCGGGAACUGCGUCCGAAACUGGCAGGCUUGAAUCCGGGAGAGGGAUGUGGAAUUCCAGGUGUAGCGGUGAAAUGCGUAGAUAUCGGAAGGAACAUCAGUGGCGAAAGCGGCUUCCUGGACCAGCACCGACGUUCAGGCACGAAAGCGUGGGGAGCAAACAGG